GACGAACGCUGGCGGCGCGCUUAACACAUGCAAAUCGAACGGAAAGGCCUGCUUUCCCUUGUGGAUUGCGGGUACUCGAGUGGCGAACGGGUGAGUAACACGUGAGUGAUCUGCCCCCAACUUGGGUAUAAGCCUGGGAAACUGGGUCUAAUUCCCGAUAGGACUGCAGGGUGGUGCCUGUGGUGGAAAACGAUUUUCUAGUGGUUGGGGAUGAGCUCGCGGCCUAUCAGCUUGUUGGUGGGGUAAUGGCCUACCAAGGCGGCGACGGGUAGCCGGCCUGAGAGGGUGGACGGCCACAUUGGGACUGAGAUACGGCCCAGACUCCUACGGGAGGCAGCAGUGGGGAAUAUUGCACAAUGGGCGGAAGCCUGAUGCAGCGACGCCGCGUGGGGGAUGACGGCCUUCGGGUUGUAAACUCCUUUCGACCGCGAGGAAGCCACCUGGUUGGAAGGGUGGUGACGGUAGUGGUAGAAGAAGCACCGGCUAACUACGUG
rnacentral:rRNA from 1 species